rnacentral:rRNA from 1 species
CCAGACUCCUACGGGAGGCAGCAGUGAGGAAUAUUGGUCAAUGGCCGAGAGGCUGAACCAGCCAAGUCGCGUGAGGGAUGACGGCCCUACGGGUUGUAAACCUCGUUUGUCGGGGAGCAAAGAGAGUCACGUGUGGCUCAUUGAGAGUACCCGAAGAAAAAGCAUCGGCUAACUCCGUGCCAGCAGCCGCGGUAAUACGGAGGAUGCGAGCGUUAUCCGGAUUUAUUGGGUUUAAAGGGUGCGUAGGCGGAAUGCCAAGUCAGCGGUAAAAUCGCGGGGCUCAACCUCGCUCCGCCGUUGAAACUGGCGUUCUUGAGUGGGCGAGAAGUAUGCGGAAUGCGUGGUGUAGCGGUGAAAUGCAUAGAUAUCACGCAGAACUCCGAUUGCGAAGGCAGCAUACCGGCGCCCAACUGACGCUGAAGCACGAAAGCGUGGGUAUCGAACAGGAUUAGAUACCCUUGUA